rnacentral:rRNA from 1 species
UACGAAGGGGGCUAGCGUUGCUCGGAAUCACUGGGCGUAAAGGGUGCGUAGGCGGGUCUUUAAGUCAGGGGUGAAAUCCUGGAGCUCAACUCCAGAACUGCCUUUGAUACUGAGGAUCUUGAGUACGGGAGAGGUGAGUGGAACUGCGAGUGUAGAGGUGAAAUUCGUAGAUAUUCGCAAGAACACCAGUGGCGAAGGCGGCUCACUGGCCCGUAACUGACGCUGAGGCGCGAAAGCGUGGGGAGCAAACAGG